rnacentral:rRNA from 1 species
AGUGAACGCUGGCGGUAGGCCUAACACAUGCAAGUCGAACGGCAGCACAGUAAGAGCUUGCUCUUACGGGUGGCGAGUGGCGGACGGGUGAGGAAUACAUCGGAAUCUACUUUUUCGUGGGGGAUAACGUAGGGAAACUUACGCUAAUACCGCAUACGACCUACGGGUGAAAGCAGGGGAUCUUCGGACCUUGCGCGAUUGAAUGAGCCGAUGUCGGAUUAGCUAGUUGGCGGGGUAAAGGCCCACCAAGGCGACGAUCCGUAGCUGGUGUGAGAGGAUGAUCAGCCACACUGGAACUGAGACACAGUCCAGACUCCUACGGGAGGCAGCAGUGGGGAAUAUUGGACAAUGGGCGCAAGCCUGAUCCAGCCAUACCGCGUGGGUGAAGAAGGCCUUCGGGUUGUAAAGCCCUUUUGUUGGGAAAGAAAAGCAGCAGGUUAAUACCCCGCUGUUCUGACGGUACCCAAAGAAUAAGCACCGGCUAACUUCGUG